rnacentral:miRNA from 1 species
AAAGACGUAAAUGUUACCUGCG